rnacentral:rRNA from 1 species
AUAUUGGGCAAUGGGCGCAAGCCUGACCCAGCAACGCCGCGUGAAGGAAGAAGGCUUUCGGGUUGUAAACUUCUUUUCUUAGGGACGAAGCAAGUGACGGUACCUAAGGAAUAAGCCACGGCUAACUACGUGCCAGCAGCCGCGGUAAUACGUAGGUGGCAAGCGUUAUCCGGAUUUACUGGGUGUAAAGGGCGUGUAGGCGGGAUUGCAAGUCAGAUGUGAAAACUGGAGGCUCAACCUCCAGCCUGCAUUUGAAACUGUAGUUCUUGAGUACUGGAGAGGCAGACGGAAUUCCUAGUGUAGCGGUGAAAUGCGUAGAUAUUAGGAGGAACACCAGUGGCGAAGGCGGUCUGCUGGACAGCAACUGACGCUGAGGCGCGAAAGCGUGGGGAGCAAACAG